rnacentral:rRNA from 1 species
AAGGAAUUUUCGGCAAUGGGCGAAAGCCUGACCGAGCAACGCCGCGUGGAGGAAGACGGCCUUCGGGUUGUAAACUCCUUUUCGAGGGGAAGACUUGGACGGUACCCUCGGAAUAAGGCUCGGCUAACUCUGUGCCAGCAGCCGCGGUAAGACAGAGGAGCCAAGCGUUGUCCGGAUUGACUGGGCGUAAAGCGCACGCAGGUGGUUGCGGGCGUCGGUGCUGACAAUUCGCCGCUUAACGGCGAGAGGCGUGCCGAUACGCCGCGACUUGAGGCCGCGAGAGGUCCGUGGAAUUGCCGGUGUAGUGGUGAAAUGCGUAGAGAUCGGCAGGAACACCAAUUGCGAAAGCAGCGGACUGGCGCGGUUCUGACACUGAGGUGCGAAAGCGUGGGGAGCGAAC